UAGUGAAAUUACCCUAAGUGCCCUUUGUUGACUUAAAUGGAUCAAUAUUCUGCCCUGUAGCGAGAGUCAUGUUCGAAAUAGCGUGAGGCUGGGUGGGCCGAGUCAUGUUUGAAGUGGCGUGAGGCUGGUUGGAUCGAGUCACAAUCGAGAUUCGUUGACACUAUAUCUAUACGCUUUAAGUAAAUUGUUUGCGUAUUUCUAACAGCUCGAGCUUUUGGGAUUAAUGAUUAGCGCUAGCUAACGAUCCGACAUCCUUGUCUUAACAGUAAAAUAAUAUUUUGCUGUGUUCUAGAUAGCUAACGCAUAUAUAUAAAGAUAAUUUGAAAUAUUUGCCAUAGAAGAAAUUUCUACGUACUGAAUUAUACAAAAGAUAAGGCAAUUUAGGAAGCAAAUUAUGGAUCUGAUU
rnacentral:lncRNA from 1 species